UGCAAAACUACUCGGAUGAUGACUUGCAUGAAGACUAAAGCUCGCUAGAUCCUUGAAUUGAUUAUUUAAUCAUUCCAAGGCUCGGGGGCUGAUAAGCUACACCCAACAGUUGUUUUUUUCAAGACAAAGGCAACAGAUCCAAGAUUUUACUGACCAUCAGCAUGAUUCUUUGAUUCAAUCUAAGGUUUGGGGGCUACUUUCAUAUAGAGUGUAACUUCCGCCACCCUCCAUAUCACAUUCCAAAGAUGAAGAUUACAAAAUCAAGACGAUCAAGGGUUUGAGCACACCAUAGUCUCAUGGUAGCUUUGAAGAACUUUGAAAAUUCAGCCAGACAAAAUACUCAAGGAGCACUAAUACUACUCGGCGAGGAUCUGAAAAGUACUCGAAGACUGUUACAUUCGACUAUGAAGCGCUCGGGGGCUUGUCAGGGAUAUAUCCCUAGUAUCCGCAAGGAAGGAAGAAGACAUGCUCCUACAUGGAUUCCCAUGUAAUCCUACCAGGACUCCUACCUUAUAACUGACUAGUAAUCCCACCCCUAAAGUAUAUAAAGGAGGGCAGGGGUACCUAGAUCGGUAGAUAGAAAACCACACCAGAGGACCAAAUUCUCAACACCCAAGCGUAGGGCGCAAUAUACAACACCCAAACAUGACGUAUUACGCAACUCUGACGGCCAGAACCUGUAUAAAUGCGUGUCUUGUGUCCUCGUUUUUUCCUUCAAAUUUCAGUUACGACAAUCCUCCACCAACCAAUUUACGGAUACCCCUCGGUAGGUCUGAAGCCCUAGCAAAGGGGCCCAAAGUCUCAGCCAUUUGGAG
rnacentral:lncRNA from 1 species